AGGGAGAGACGGAAACAUCCAUGUGAGAGAGACACAUCUACUGGUUGCCACCCACACUUGCCUCUGAGUGGCUUGAGGAUGGAACCUGCAACCCAGGUACAUGCCCUUGACCAAAAUCAAACCCAGGACCCUUCAGUCCACCAGCCGAUGCUCUAACCACUGAGCCAAACCAGCCGGGGCGAGACAUAUUUUCAUAUAAUGGUUUCAUCUUCGAUUUCUGUCAUAAACAUUUUACAGUUUUCAGUGUACAGACCUUUUACUUCCUUGGUUAGGUUUAUCGCUCUGUAUUUUACUCUUUUUGGUGCCGUUAUACAUGAGAUUAUUUAACUUUUUUAUGGAGAGCUCAUUGUAUAGGGGAACAGCUGAUUUUCCUAUGUUGCUUUGGUAUCCUUCACCUUGACUGAAUUCCUUUAUUAGUCCUAACAGGUGUGUGUUUUGUGUGGUUUUUCGGUGGAGUCCUUGGUAGUUUUUACCUGUAGAUCACGUUAUCUGCAAACAGAGACUUUUACAAUUCUUCCUUUGUAAUUUGGAUGCCUUUAUUGCUGCUGCUUGGUCUAGAACCUAUCGUUGUAAUGACAGGGAUGAGAGGAUGGCUUCUCUUCAUCGCUCAUGACAAAUGCUAUGUGUGUGUGAGGUGAAAAUUGUGUGAUUAUAGGUUGCCAUGAAUUACUAGUGCUCAGCCUAAUACUGGUUUCUUUCUUUAUGCUAUGAUUUAUUUAUUUAUUUUAUUUACUCAUUCACUCAUUCAUUCAUUCAUUUAUUCAUUUAUUUUUGGAGUAAUCAUGACCUCAUAAAUAAGCAUGGUGCAUUAGCUUGUGUUCCAAGAGGGAGGUAAUAGGUCGUCUAGAAGUCAUCUUCCUCGUCUUCCUCCAGGUCAUGUUGUCCCCCAAGGGUCUUCGUUGGCCUAUUGCUUCCUGGGCUCUGUGUGUCAGGCUUCUUUCCGAGUUGGAAGUAUGCGGAUGUCAAGGCCACCUUGCUCUCCUCACUCCCAGGAAACAUCUCUGUGGAACCAUUUGGCAAGAUGGUGGUCGUUGCCUUCAUGUUGAAGGACUCUUGAUGUCAGGCUUCUCUAGGAAUUGGAGCUAUGCAAAUCUUAAGGCCACCUUGCUCUCCUCGGUUGCAGGAAACAUCUCUGUGUCAAUCUGGCAAGGUGGUGCUCGUUGCCUGCAUGUUUUAGGACAUAUUUACAAAAAAGAUUUUCAUUGGGCCUGAACUUCCUGUGCUGUCAGUGUCACGCUUCUUUCCGAGUUGGAACUAUGCAGAUCUGAAGCCCACCAUGCUCUCCUCAGUUCCAGGAAACAUCUCUGUGGGACCAUCUGGCAAGGUGGUGGUCAUUGCCUUCGUGUUUAAGGUCACGUUGUCCCACAAAGGUCAUCGUUGGGCCUGUUGCUUCCUGUGCUCUGUGUGUCAGGCUUCUUCCCAAGUUGGAACUAUGCACAUCUCAAGGCCUCCUUGCUCUCCUCACUUCCAGGAAACAUCUCUGUGUGACCAUCUGGCCAGGUGGUGGUCGUUGCCUUCCUGUUUAAGGUCAUAGUACCGGAAAUGGUUUUCUUUUGACCUAGAGCCUCCUGGGCUGUGUGUGUCAGGCUUCUUUCCGAGUUGGAAGUAUGCGGAUGUCAAGGCCACCUUGCUCUCUUCACUUCCAGGAAACAUCUCUGUGUGACCAUUGGGCAGGGUGGUGGUCGUUGCCUUCGUGUUUAAGGUCACCUUCAAAGUGGCUGGUCCUGCAAGUGAGCAAGUUACCUUCAGGGAGCCAAGAGCGCUGAAAUGAGGUCUGUCACUUCAGAGAAAAGGGUGCAAUUCCGUAAACCUUGAGUAACACCAUGGGACCCACAGGAAGUGCCUGAGUGAUGCUGGGAAUGCGCCUGAGGGAAAAGUCACCUCGUGACGAGAGGAAGUUGAGUUGCUGGCUGUGUGCUGUAGAUGGAGGUGUGGAGCGGUGGUUGUCUGCGUGGAGCGGUGGUUGUCCCACAGUUCAAGGUAAACGGAUCCAGUGCCAGGACCAUGGUAAAGGAAAGGAAAGGAAACACGGGAAGCGGUCACAGCGGCUGCGUGAGCAGGCACGAAGACCUUGCCCUAUUUCAAACUACGUUUUUAUCUUGUAUUGGAAGUACGUUUAUGUGGGUGCAGGAUUGCAAUAAAAAGAGGCAUACCUAUCAACUCUGCCAUGAAUCCAGAAAAAGCGAAGUCGUUAGCUGACAACUUAAAGCAAAAGGGAGAGGAAGGAUCUAGAGCUGCAAGAUUUCAGGCCCGCCAAGGACGAUUGGGUAACUUCAGAAAGAGCUUUGCUUGAAAGAUGUCAAAGGAAGCAGCUUCUGGUGGCUAAGAGGCAGCAGACAAGUUUGGGAAAACAGGAAGGAAAUGACGGAGGAGAAAGGGUAACGGCCAGGACGGGUUUGAAAUGCAGGUGCGAGUAUUGAGAAGGGAGACUGCCCAGAAGGACUUUAUCAGUGUGGAAGAGAAGUGAGCGCCAGGACGGAUGGAAGAAGGGACAGGCUACCUCUACUGUUGUGUGCAGACUAAGCCGGGUUUACCAUCAGGACUGCCCUGGCCUGUGAAGCUGCUCGCCCGAGUGCGGAAGGAGAGAUGGACACCAGCUGCCAGUCUUUGGGUUGGACAAGAAGGAGACCUGGACGAGGAAACCCCUUUUCUGGAUUGAUUCCUUUUUCUGGAUUGAUUCCAUCGAUGCUUUGUGUCUGAAGUCAGAAAGGACCUUGCGUGUGAGGGACUGGACUGCCUUGUAAAGUUCUUUGGAUAGUGGACAAUGUCCCUGGCCACCCAGAACCCCAGGAGGUCAACACCGAAAGCAUCAACGUGUCCAAUUCAGCCCACCGAUGAGAGGACCUGCGAGGCUCAUUGCGCACAGUGUUGUGGAAAGGAUUGCCAGUGCUACGGAAGAGAACCCGAUAGAGAGGACACCUUGAGAGUCUGGAAGGAUCGAUCGCGCGCCAUUGAAGAUGCCAUCGUCGUCGUAGGAAAGGCCACGAACGCCAUCAAGUCUGAACCUGUCAGUUCCUGCUGG